GGCCUAUGCUUAAUCUUAGAGCAUUAUCUAAGGUACCUGCAUUUGGGGUAAUGAGGAGGACUUUGAUGGAGGUAGUUAAUAAUAAUACUAUAUGGGAUAUAGUUGGUAUAUAUCCUGAUGAUAGUAGGAUAGAUUUAGAUCUUAAAUUGGAUGAUAAUAGUAUAGUAAGGUUCAAUGCUAAUA
rnacentral:rRNA from 1 species